GUGUCAGCCGCCGCGGUAAUACGGAGGUGGCGAGCGUUGUUCGGAAUCACUGGGCUUAAAGCGCGUGUAGGCGGGACGGUAAGUGUCGGGUGAAAGCCCUCGGCUCAACCGAGGAAUGGCUUGGCAUACUGUCGUCCUUGAGGCAGACAGAGGUCACUGGAACGACGGGUGGAGCGGUGAAAUGCGUAGAUAUCCGUUGGAACGCCGGCGGCGAAAGCGAGUGACUGGGUCUGUCCUGACGCUGAGACGCGAAAGCGUGGGUAGCAAACAGGAUUAGAUACCCCAGUAGUCC
rnacentral:rRNA from 1 species